rnacentral:rRNA from 1 species
UACGUAGGGGGCAAGCGUUGUCCGGAAUUAUUGGGCGUAAAGGGCGCGUAGGCGGCUUGAUGUGUCAAAGGUGAAAUCCCUCGGCUCAACUGAGGAACUGCCUUUGAAACUGUCUGGCUUGAGGCCGGGAGAGGGUAGCGGAAUUCCCAGUGUAGCGGUGAAAUGCGUAGAUACUGGGAGGAACACCGGUGGCGAAGGCGGCUACCUGGACCGGAACUGACGCUGAGGCGCGAAAGCGUGGGUAGCAAACAGG